GAGUUUGAUCAUGGCUCAGGACGAACGCUGGCGGCGCGCUUAAUACAUGCAAGUCGAACGAGAAGCCAGAGCUUGCUCUGGUGGAAAGUGGCGAACGGGUGAGUAACACGUGAGAAACCUGCCCCAAAGAUUGGGAUAAGCCUUGGAAACGAGGUCUAAUACCAAAUACCUUCUUUUUAACACAUGUUAAAAGAAGAAAUGCUCCGGCGCUUUGGGAUGGUCUCGCGAUCUAUCAGCUUGUUGGUGAGGUAACGGCUCACCAAGGCAUCGACGGAUAGCUGGUCUGAGAGGAUGUCCAGCCACAUUGGAACUGAGACACGGUCCAAACUCCUACGGGAGGCAGCAGUAGGGAAUCUUGCACAAUGAGGGAAACCUUGAUGCAGCGACGCCGCGUGCGGGACGAAGGCCCUAGGGUUGUAAACCGCUUUCAGUAGGGACGAAAGUGACGGUACCUACAGAAGAAGCCCCGGCCAACUAUGUG
rnacentral:rRNA from 1 species